GGAGAGGUGGCUGAGUGGUUGAAAGCGGCGGUCUUGAAAACCGUUGUAGUCUUACGGCUACCGGGGGUUCGAAUCCCUCCCUCUCCGC
rnacentral:tRNA from 1 species